GAUGAACGCUGGCGGCGUGCUUAACACAUGCAAGUCGAACGCUGAAGCCCCAGCUUGCUGGGGUGGAUGAGUGGCGAACGGGUGGGUAACACGUGAGUAACCUUCCCUUGACUCUGGGGUAAGCCCGGGAAACUGGGUCUAAUACCGGAUACGACCUCCUGCCGCAUGGUGUGGGGGUGGAAAGAUUUAUCGGUUUUGGAUGGACUCGCGGCCUAUCAGCUUGUUGGUGAGGUAAUGGCUCACCAAGGCGACGACGGGUAGCCGGCCUGAGAGGGUGACCGGCCACACUGGGACUGAGACACGGCCCAG
rnacentral:rRNA from 1 species